CACUCUCUCUCAUCUGCCACCAUGUAAGCCGUGCCUGCUUCCUCUUCUGCCAUGAUUGUAAGUUUCCUGAGGACUGCUCAGCAAUAAAACUGUGAGUCAAUUAAACCUCUUUUCUUUAUAAAUUACUCAAUCUCAGUUUUGUCUUUAUAGGAGUGUGAGAAUGGACUAAUACAAGAUCUAAGUGUGAAAAUUAUUUAAUAUAGCUUUUUCUUUUGGAGGCAGUAUAACUCUCCAUGCAAAAUUCUGGUUAGGCUGCUAAGAAUAAUGCUGAUUAUUACUAUCAUCAGCUCAUUUUCACUAAAAAUUAAUUCAAUACAUAUAAUUUACUGAACUUUAUUAUCACCGAGUGCUCUUAUAGGUUUUGCAGGGAAAGGGCACAAAGGUACAUGUCUUGAUAUCAAGGAGCCUUAAAAGGUUAUCCUUUGGUUUUAUAACUUUUCUGACCAAAAAUUUCCAGUGAUAUCCUAAUAUUGAUUUGGUUUAUCAAAGCCUAUCUUUGAUCUCUAUCUGCCCUUUCUUCAUCUUGUUGCAUAUGCCAUGCUCUUAUCACAUCAUAUUUUGCCUCAAUGUUUGAUCUGGAGGCUUUGGAAAGACUAUCCAUUUUAAAAACUGCCAAAUUUAACAGGAUAUACUUAAAGUCUGUAAAAAGAUUAAGCCUUUGUGCCAGUACUCUGUGGCUCUGUAAUACUUACUUUGAAAGUAGACUGAGUAGUCUAAAUAAAUUUUUAAUUAAGCAUCUGAUUUAGAUAAUUUGGGACAGAGCAAAGUUGUAUUUUGGGUAUUUUUCUUCCCUGUCAUUGACACUUUUAAACAUAUUUUCACUAAAAAUAUGUGAUUUGGCUCUUCUUAAUCUUGACGCCAGUGUUACAUACUUUUCAAUUUAAACACACCAAAACUAAAACUUUAGAUAUAAGAAAACAAUGGAUGGAAAUGCAUAGCUUCCAAAAAUGGAAAUAGACUUUUACUUAUUUACUUCAUCAGAGACUUGAUAUCAUUUUUGUUUUUCUUUUUCUACUUUGUGCUAUUUAUGAGCAUAAUCUGUAAGCAACAGGUUACAUUCUUUUAAAAUACUUUUGCAGGCAAUAUAGUAUAUAUUUGUUUAAAUGAAAUUCAUUUCAGCUCAAAUACUCAUCUUUUCUCUGUACACACACAUAUGAUAAGACUUUCAGUACUGGUCCUUGUGGCUUGUCAAUGUAGCUCUAUACAAGGGUGGUGAUUUUUACAAAAUCCCCAAAGUAGUACCUCUGUUUUGACUGUCACAGAAGCCUUUAGUUUGGCAGGAAACAGAUUACCAUGUAAGCCAAGUGUGAAAUGCCUAACCUUAACCUUGAAAAAAAGGGGCUGCUUAGUAAGUUCUCUUUAGCUUGUUCUAACCUAAAAAUUCUCCUUUCUAGUUCUGAAGCAAAAAAGAUCUGUUUCCCACUCAUUUUUAUAAGCAGAGCUCAGUCCUUAGGAAGAAUUUCUUGUUUCAUUCUUGGAAAUGGGACAAGUUCUCUCUCGCUCUCUCUCUCUCUUUUUUUUUUUUCCUAAUGAGAUAAAGCUUAGAAAUAAAACAUAAGUCAAUUUCUCAGUAGAUUAUCUGCCUACAUUAAAUUUUCAAUAAAUCACCUUCCUGUGCUUAGAAGGGCAAUUUGUAAAAGCCAUUUAUUUGAGGAUGGAGAGUUGGGAUUUGAAGCAUUCAGGGCAGGUGAGAAGAAUGAGCAACAGCAUCAUAUGGGCCAAGUUCUCUGGGGGGAACCCCACCAUUUCCCUCUGUGUCAUCAACCAUACUAUCCUAAGUGCUCUCCAGAAAGAAGGCUGGUUUAGUAAAUGGAAGUAUUUUUGGUACUAUUAACUCCAGAGAAAAGCAGUGGGAAGGAUACUAGGUCAAUUUUCAAAGCAAAACCAUUCACAGACUAGGAGGCAUAAUUUAUGGACAUAAUAAGCUGGGACAAUGACAGGAGGAUUAUUGAAGAUAAAAUAUCCAGUGGUACUUGGUAAAACACAAUAGGGAAUACUUUAUUUAGGAUUAAUGCAAUAGGUAUAGGGAAUGCAAGGUUUUGCAAUGGGGGAGAGAAAUUGGACUCAGCUCCCAAUACAGCAUGGGCAACUGGGAAUUUAUAGGAAAAGAGCGGGGUAGAGGUCAUUGGACAGACAUUAUCUAAGAGGAAACAUCAAGGGUAAGGAGGAUUCUGGCUAAACUGACCCCACGGUAUUUUUGCUGAAGACAGGCCAGCAUGAUCAAACAUCACCUGGGGAGUGGUAGAGGAUGAGGAACCUAAUCAGACAUCAAAGAUGAUCAGAUAUUGAGGAUGGGGGUUUCUUGCCCGUCAGACUUAGCAGGGUUAUUUGCUAAAACUGUAUUUGACAAAGAAUUGCACAGAUGGGCCUAGGAGAAAAUUCAGAAGCCUAACUAAAGUUUGGCCCAGCAAACGAUUUUGUAAGGAGCAAAAAGAUUAUAAGAAACAAAAUAGAAAAGUUAUCCAUUGUAAAAAGAAAAAUGUUAAAAUACAAAAUUGAUAUUGUAGACAGGUAUAAACAUGCAUUUAAAGACAUUAAUAACAAGAUGUCCCUAUUCAGGGAGGACAGAAGAGGCAGAAAUGUAUUUAUGUUUAUUACAGCCAAUGGUUUAGUCAAUGCCCUGAACAAGCCUGCGUGCCCCUGAUUAAGGUAAGGGCAGAGGUGCUGGACCUAUGGGGAAUGAAUGCAGAAAUAAGAAAAUAUUGAGAUGUCAAUCGUACAAUUACUAAAUACUUUUUGACGUGCAUGGUUAAGGUUAUAGGAAAGAAGGAAACUGAAAGAUGCACCUACAGGAAAAGAUAAAUGAGAUUUUCGAGCAAAAUGUACAUGUUCUAAAUAGAAGCUCUAUGGAUAGUGUUAAUGUAAAGUUCUAUAAGUAAGUGAAAUGGAUGUUCAGAAUCAAAUUAGAUAAUAUACAUGAGAGCACUUUAAAACUUAAAAAUUUGGUGUGUAACCACAGGCGUAGUUACAGUAUCUAAGGGGGUGUAGGUUUGCCGCUAUUGCAUGCAUAUUAUGUGCCAAGCCCAUUGCUAUGUCUUUAUGAUACAUUAUCCUUCCCAGAUUUACAUAAGGUGGUUGUCAUACACCUGCUACAGACAAGAAACCUGGAAUCCAUGGGAGUAAAGGAACUUGUUUAAGGACAAAAGACAAAUAGAAGAAUUUAGGGUUUGAACCCAGGUCUGCCUAAUUAUUUUCUGUGGUUUUAAGAGAAGCAGUUAUGAAGCGAAGCAAAAUGAUCUAUGUAUGAGGUUGUUUUCCUGUUGUGUUCUGAGAAAAAGUAAUGCUGACUCUUCUGUUUCCUUUAAAAAAAGACAAAAAGGGUCUGACUAGCUGCCUCUAUGGUUUAGAACCAGGAGAUAAUUUUGAGAACAGUAUUCCUUUUCCCUUAUUAUAUUUGCAUUAUUACAAUAUCUCAUCACUAGAACCUGAAGUUUUAAUAAGGCUCGUAAAGUAGGUGUUGAGGAGGGAGUGCCUCUAUGGGAAAUUUCAGAAAAUCCAUAGUUAAAAAAAAAAAAGAAAGAUAAUUUAAACAGGCCCUCUUCCAAACAAGAACUUCUAUGGUUAACAUCUUUUCUUUUUCUUUUUUUUUUUAAUGAAGGAGGGAUUUAUUGCAAAAUUUUAGAAAUGUUAUUCUCAUUACUAAAUAGCUAUGGGUUUGCUUCUCAGAAGAAAGCCAGGAGAUUCAGCUUGUAGUGUCAAUUAGUUUCAGAAACUAGUGACCAGUUACUUUUAUAAUCAUUUUCAAAAGGAGCAAGUAGCAGUGAGGACACAGCUGAUAAUAGCUAAAUAUUUCGUUUUCAUUGUCCUAUCAAGGUGACUAGGGAAGGACUGCAUUCUUCCUGACAAAUAUCUGCUUUACAGGUUUAAGUUCCUUUGGGAUCUUUGUUGCCAGAGUGUAAAAGGCCUGGGAUAGUUGUUUUAUUUGAUACUAAUUCAGCCCGGCAAGCCGUAACCAGGAGUGUCACAUCUAAAUGCCUGGACACACUGCUCAUCUUUUCUCUGUGAUUGGUCUCAGAUUAUAGUACUGUGUCAAGGUUCAUUCGAUCCGAAGCAUUUCAGCAUCAGCUUUUACUUCUCCCUGGCUUCAAUGAAAGAAAUUUCUGUGAUGUAAAGAUUGAGGAUUUCUUAGCCAUUAAUAAUUUUAUUUAUAUUACUCUUCAGAUUCUUCUGGCGGAUCCAGUGAUAAUUUUUCUUCUUAGUGGUGAAACUGCUAAUUGCUAGUUGAGGAUAAGAUGGAGAGUUUUUAUUUUUAAUAUCUAGAAGUGGUAUAAAUCAAGUUGAUCUGAAAAUGAAAAAAAAAUGCAGAAUUCUCUCAUAAACGGUUUCAAAAUUUAAUAUUACAGCUGUUAGUUCAC
rnacentral:lncRNA from 1 species